rnacentral:rRNA from 1 species
AGAGUUUGAUCCUGGUUCAGAACGAACGCUGGCGGCGUGCUUAACACAUGCAAGUCGAACGCGAAAGGGACUUCGGUCCCGAGUAGAGUGGCGCACGGGUGAGUAACGCGUAAGUAAUCUACCCCUGUAUCUGGAAUAACCCACCGAAAGGUGAGCUAAUACCGGAUACGUUUAUCUUGAUGCGAAUGAUGAUAAAGAAAGGUGGCCUCUUCAUGAAAGCUACCGUACAGGGACGAGCUUGCGUACCAUUAGCUGGUUGGUAGGGUAAUGGCCUACCAAGGCGACGAUGGUUAGCGGGUCUGAGAGGAUGAUCCGCCACACUGGAACUGAAACACGGACCAGACUCCUACGGGAGGCAGCAGUGAGGAAUAUUGCGCAAUGGGGGCAGCCCUGACGCAGCGACGCCGCGUGGACGAUGAAGGCCCUUGGGUCGUAAAAUCCUGUCAGAUGGAAAGAAAUGUACAGGCGUUAAUAUCGCCUGUAU